GGUGACGUGGCCCAAUUGGAAGGAGGCACCGGUCUCAGGAACCGGGAUGUGUGGGUUCGAGUCCCACCGUCACUACC
rnacentral:tRNA from 1 species